rnacentral:rRNA from 1 species
GUAACAAGGUCUCCGUUGGUGAACCAGCGGAGGGAUCAUUACUGAGUUUACGCUCUAUAACCCUUUGUGAACAUACCUAUAACUGUUGCUUCGGCGGGUAGGGUCUCCGCGACCCUCCCGGCCUCCCGCCUCCGGGCGGGUCGGCGCCCGCCGGAGGAUAACCAAACUCUGAUUUAACGACGUUUCUUCUGAGUGGUACAAGCAAAUAAUCAAAACUUUUAACAACGGAUCUCUUGGUUCUGGCAUCGAUGAAGAACGCAGCGAAAUGCGAUAAGUAAUGUGAAUUGCAGAAUUCAGUGAAUCAUCGAAUCUUUGAACGCACAUUGCGCCCGCCAGCAUUCUGGCGGGCAUGCCUGUUCGAGCGUCAUUUCAACCCUCAAGCUCUGCUUGGUGUUGGGGCCCUACAGCUGAUGUAGGCCCUCAAAGGUAGUGGCGGACCCUCCCGGAGCCUCCUUUGCGUAGUAACUUUACGUCUCGCACUGGGAUCCGGAGGGACUCUUGCCGUAAAACCCCCCAAUUUUCCAAAGGUUGACCUCGGAUCAGGUAGGAAUACCCGCUGAACUUAAGCAUAUC